ACCAGAGCCAUAUCACCUUGCAGUUCUCGCCUGGUUUCCCACCGAAGUUUAGCAUGGGUGAGCCUGCCCCGUACCUGGAUGGAAGAACUCCUGGGGAAAAUUAAGGUUGCUGCUGGAA
rnacentral:rRNA from 1 species